rnacentral:tRNA from 1 species
GGGGCUAUAGCUCAAUUGGGAGAGCGCUUGCAUGGCAUGCAAGAGGUUGACGGUUCGAUCCCGUCUAGUUCCA